rnacentral:rRNA from 1 species
UGUGGGCUUUGCCCGCUUUGCAAACGUGAGCAAGAAUCGGGCAUCCACCUCUUCGUCAAGUGCCGCUUCUCCAUUAGGCUCUGGCGAUCGGUCAUCGACAAGUUUGGUCUUGUGCACAUGGACACCUCCAAUUGGCACCUUGAGGAUUCCCUCAUGCAAUGGUGGGAUAGAAGGACCGACAUGCGAAACCCCAAUAGACGAGCGAUGGCCUCCCUCACCAUGCUCGUCUCUUGGACUAUUUGGAACGAGAGAAACGCGCGGGUGUUUCGCAACAAGAGUGCGCCGCCGCCUAUCCUGCUCCAAAAUAUCGUACUCGAGGCAAAACUAUGGGUUACGGCAGGUGCUAAGAAACUAGGGCGUAUUGUUGUACGAGAGUAA